rnacentral:lncRNA from 1 species
CAAAAAAUGGUGGGUUUGAUCCAAGCAAGGAAACAGAGUCUAAGUUCAUUGAUUCAGCACUCAUUUACUGAGGUCUAUCAUGAGCCAGGCUGGGUGCUGGGGACACAUAGUGAAUAGACCUCAGUCUCUGCCCUUGUGGUGCUCAAAUCCAGAGGAGAGGGCAGGCAAGACCACCAGGAACCAACAGAGAGAGAGAAAAAGAGGAGUAUGGCUGGUAGCAGAGGAAGGGGAAGACAGAGAGAUUCAACUGGCUUGAAGAUGGAAAAAAUGGACCACUUGAGAAGAAAUGUGGGCAACCUCUAAGAACAUUGGUGCCCCCCUGGCUUGACAGCCAGCAAGGAACCAAGGACCACAGAUGCAACCCGAAGGAACUGGAUUCUGCCAGUGAUCUGAACUAGCUUGGAAGUGGAUUCUACUUCUGAACCUCCAGAUAAGAGCCCAGCCAAGGUGACACCCUGAUUUUGCCUGGUGAGUCCCUGAGCAGGGAGCUCCUCUGAGCCUGUCUGGACUGAGAACCUGCAGAAGAACUGUGAGCUAAUAAAUGAAGGUU